rnacentral:rRNA from 1 species
UAACACAUGCAAGUCGUACGAGUAGUUUUUAACUCUAGUGGCGGACGGGUGAGUAACACGUGAGAAUUUGCCUUUAGGAGGGGGAUAACAAUUGGAAACGAAUGCUAAUACCCCAUAUGCUUUCGAGUGAAAGGAUUUAUAUUUAUUCGCCUAAAGAGAAGCUCGCGGCUGAUUAGCUUGUUGGUAAGGUAAGAGCUUACCAAGGCGACGAUCAGUAUCUGGUUUGAGAGGACGAUCAGACACACUGGAACUGAGACACGGUCCAGACUCCUACGGGAGGCAGCAGUGGGGAAUUUUCCGCAAUGGGCGAAAGCCUGACGGAGCAAUACCGCGUGAGGGAAGACUGCCUAUGGGUUGUAAACCUCUUUUUUCAGGGAGGAAUAAAAUGACGUGUACCUGAAGAAUAAGCAUCGGCUAACUCCGUGCCAGCAGCCGCGGUAAGACGGAGGAUGCAAGUGUUAUCCGGAAUCACUGGGCGUAAAGCGUCUGUAGGUGGUUUAAUAAGUCAACUGUUAAAUCUUGAGGCUCAACUUCAAAAUCGCAGUCGAAACUAUUAGACUAGAGUAUAGUAGAGGUAAAGGGAAUUUCCAGUGGAGCGGUGAAAUGCGU